ACAGCUGAGCCCACUGUGAUCAGACACCAGCAAAAGGCCCUGUGCUUAGCAACCACAGUAGAACCUGCGUGGCGGUCAGAUGAGAUGAUGCAGUAAACGUAAUAUGUGCCCUGUGACACGCUCCACAAACGCACAGCCUGCUGUCCCAGAGCACUGCAGCACCGGUCAGAGUGGGCCCCAGGGAAGGGGUGCGCGUGCCUCCCAGAGAGUUCAGUCCAAAUGGGGAACCCCAGAACUACACUAAAGAGCCCUGGAUCCCAACCACAGAGUCUGAAAUGGAAGUUUUCAGAAAUCCUUCGUUCAAGCAGUGUCUUGAAACUAUGUAUGACCACACUUGAUCUCUUGAUGGCCGGCCCGGAGUGCAGCAGAGUGAACUGGCUGUGUACCAAUUCCAGGAUUCCCUGCAUGAAUUUGAAUCCACUUUCUGACAUCGUGACCUUCACAUUAACCCACUUUCCUAUGCUUCAGUUUCCUGCUUCAUACAACAUGACAGAAUGCGCUCACCUUGCAAACUGUUGUGAGGAACAAGUGGGAAGAUCCAGGUAAAAAGGCUACACAGAAGCAUCCAUCAUGCGUGGGACGCUGUGCUGACCUCAUCUUUAUUCCACUUAACAUCCCUCACCCGCCCAUGAUAGAGGAGCCUGGAGGCGGGAGGACGUGGGCUAUGGAUCCCAGCAACCCCAAAGCCUGGCACACAGGAGGCCCUCAAUGAACCCAGUGAUGUCGAAGUGUGCAGGCACCACAUAGGUUCUCACCUACAGUGACUCAGAACCUUGGUGUCGACAGCACAUUUAAUCUAAGUCUCGGCUGGGCGAGGUGGCUCAGGCCUAUAAUCCCAGCACCUUGGGAGGCUGAGGCAGGCAGAUCACCUGAUGUCAGAAG